UACGUAGGUGGCAAGCGUUGUCCGGAUUUAUGGGCGUAAAGAGCGUGUAGGCGGCCAGACAGGUCUGCUGUGAAAACUCGAGGCUCAACCUCGAGACGCCGGUGGAAACCGUUUGGCUAGAGUCCGGAAGAGGAGAGUGGAAUUCCUGGUGUAGCGGUGAAAUGCGCAGAUAUCAGGAAGAACACCCGUGGCUAAGGCGGCUCUCUAGUACGGUACUGACGCUGAGACGCGAAAGCGUGGGGAGCGAACAGG
rnacentral:rRNA from 1 species